CUGAAUAAAUAGCAGGUAGACUCCUUUCAUGGGUAGAUGUUUCCAAUGUUCCAUUAUAUGUGAGGACAGGUUGUUUGUGACAGGUUGUCUAGUGGUUAGAGCGUUGGAUAGUAACAGAAAGAUUGCAAGAUCGAUCCCCGAGCUGAUAAGGAAGGCCUACAUUAAAUGAACCAUUCAUCUCCCGUUUUGGACGUGUGAAACCCCUCCGUGAUGUAGGCUGCAUGUGUCCAUGCCUAUCAUGAAACGAGAGGCUACCCUUACCCAAGACCUACAAUAACGAAGACUGAUUCAACAGCAUCAAGUAUUUUUUAUCCUUGUAUGAUGUUAUAUUAAUCCCCCACUAGACUAACGGGUUAAAACCAACCUUAUUCAAAUGAUUCACCAUCCUGAUCUGUAAAAUGUUUCUGAUUAUGUUCAUAAAACAUUAUAUUUGGGAGCACUAUAA